UCUUGGUCAUUUAGAGGAAGUAAAAGUCGUAACAAGGUUUCCGUAGGUGAACCUGCGGAAGGAUCAUUAUUGAAAUAAAUCUGAUGGGUUGUUGCUGGUUCCCUAGGGAGCAUGUGCACGCCUUGUCAUCUUUAUAUCUCCACCUGUGCACUUUUUGUAGACCUUUCAGGUCUAUGUUGCUUCAUUUACCCCAAUGUAUGUCAAUAGAAUGUUGUGCCUAUUUUAAUAUAUACAACUUUCAGCAACGGAUCUCUUGGCUCUCGCAUCGAUGAAGAACGCAGCGAAAUGCGAUAAGUAAUGUGAAUUGCAGAAUUCAGUGAAUCAUCGAAUCUUUGAACGCACCUUGCGCUCCUUGGUAUUCCGAGGAGCAUGCCUGUUUGAGUGUCAUUAAUAUAUCAACCUUCUCUUGUUUGAGUGGUUUGGAUGUGGGGGUUUGCUGGCCUAGUAAAAGGGUUCAGCUCCUCUGAAAUGCAUUAGCAGAACAACCCUUGUUCAUUGGUGUGAUAACUAUCUACGCUAUUGAAUGUGAGGGGGGCAGUUCAGCUUACUAACAGUCUUAGGACAAUUCAUCAUUAAUGUGACCUCAAAUCAGGUAGGACUACCCGCUGAACUUAAGCAUAUCAAUAAGCGGAGGA
rnacentral:rRNA from 1 species